UUUAUGGAGAGUUUGAUCCUGGCUCAGGAUGAACGCUGGCGGCGUGCCUAAUACAUGCAAGUCGAGCGAACAGAUAAGGAGCUUGCUCCUUUGACGUUAGCGGCGGACGGGUGAGUAACACGUGGGUAACCUACCUAUAAGACUGGAAUAACUCCGGGAAACCGGGGCUAAUGCCGGAUAACAUGUUGAACCGCAUGGUUCUACAGUGAAAGACGGUCUUGCUGUCACUUAUAGAUGGACCCGCGCCGUAUUAGCUAGUUGGUGGGGUAACGGCCUACCAAGGCGACGAUACGUAGCCGACCUGAGAGGGUGA
rnacentral:rRNA from 1 species